AACUUCAAGGAAUUGACGGGGGCCCGCACAAGCGGAGGAGCAUGUGGUUUAAUUCGAUGAUACGCGAGGAACCUUACCUGGGCUCGAACGUAAGAUGACUGUAGGUGAAAGCUUACAUCUCUUCGGAGCAUUUUACGAGGUGCUGCAUGGUUGUCGUCAGCUCGUGCCGUGAGGUGUCGGGUUAAGUCCCAUAACGAGCGCAACCCCUACCUUUAGUUGCCAUCAGGUAAUGCUGGGGACUCUAAAGGAACUGCCUACGCAAGUAGUGAGGAAGGCGGGGAUGACGUCAAAUCAGCACGGCCCUUACGUCCAGGGCUACACACGUGUUACAAUGGCCAGUACAGAGGGCAGCCACCCCGCGAGGGGGCGCUAAUCCUAAAAGCUGGUCCCAGUUCGGAUCGGAGUCUGCAACCCGACUCCGUGAAGCUGGAUUCGCUAGUAAUCGCGCAUCAGCCACGGCGCGGUGAAUACGUUCCCGGGCCUU
rnacentral:rRNA from 1 species